AAAAGAAUGAGCAAUUAACAAAACACACCGAGUGGAGUUCGGCUUUAGAUGAAGACUUACUUCAGUGAGUACAGAACGGAUUGAGGUAGAAUUUUAAAGCGCUUCUACUUAAAAUGAUUCUCGUUCUUGUGACAGGGAUCCCGGUUCUGCAGUGAUUCCUCCGGACCCUUCCCCGUGGAGCCUGUCAGCCGGGCCCUGGUCCCCUGAGAGCGGCCUCCCAGCAGUAUUAAAUCAGUAUGCUGAAGCGCUGAGUUACAGCACUUAUAUCCCCAGCUGUGAAACACAGAGCCAAACCGUACAGACGGAGGACUGGACAGAGGAAAGAUCUACAAACACAAAUGAGGACUGGGAAUCAGACAUGGUAAGAUUUCAGCACCUUACUCCAGGUUUUGUGUGUUUGCAGGUGUGUGUGUGUGUGUAGGUGUGUGUGUGUGUGUGUGUGUGUGUGUGUGUUGUUGUGUGUUCGUAGGUGUCACUGGGUUUUGUAAGCGGUUCUCUCCAAACAUGUUCACUAGAUGAGGAUGUGAGGCUCGAUCUCUGUUGUAUUAAACAAUGAUAAACUGCACGUCUGUAGUCACUGAUUCACCACACACACACACGUAUUCCAAAUAUGUUUGGGUACAACUCCCUUCCUAGUCCUCGUGAGGAUGGAUUUCAGCAGCAAAAUGAAAACUGUAAGUGUUAAAUUGACACUACACACGGAGAACAAGGAAGAAGAUUAUUUGCAGGAGAUGCCAACUAAGGAUCUAAGAACUUGUGCAGAGGAUAAAAAGUGAAACACAAGGUAAGCACAUAUGUAUCAAACCAAUUAGGUUAAGUUGAUCUAAAUAGGUAGAUUGUUAGCACUAACUAACACUUCUAUGUUUUUCCAACUAGCGAUCAACUAAUCAAUACAAUUAGGUAUGUUUAGGACCUCAUUUUAACUGAAAUGUCUCAUCAGAUCUUUAGCCUGACUGACCCCUAAUGGAGGAAUUCCAUUAAUCUAGUAGUUGUUAGUCUAGUGUGUGUGUGUGUGUGUGUGUUUAGUUAGCAUUCAGGUCAGGGGUGGGUUCUUUUAUAUAAAAGAAUUUUUUUUUUUUAUAGGAGGUGGGUGGGGAUCAUCGCACUUGAUUCCGUAGUGUAUAUUGUGUUUAUAGUGUAUAGGAUAUGCAAGCCACAGAUUUUGACCAAAGUGAUUCACAGAGAAAUUAAAUACAAUUAAAAAAAAAAAAAAUUAAUGGUUAGUAGCUUUGAAAAACAAAAUGAGUACACUUAUGACUAAAACCAUGUUAAAAUAGUAGUUAAAAUAAACAGGGGUUUGUAUGGUGAGAUUGUCCAAUAGAGUAGUUGGGUUAAAGUCCAAAUCAGCAGUUAAAUAUGAAAUAAUGUCCUAAGGCUACCUGGGAUUUUAUGGAGACAGAUUUUGAUUUUGGCUAAGUUUAGAGGCUAAAUGAAAAUAGUGACUUGAUGCCCUCAAGGCUAGCAUUGUGCCAGAUAUUUAACUAAGCCUUAGUUCUGAUUUCUUGUUACAUCGAUACAUUAUUAUUACAGUAUAAUUAAAGGGGACAUCGGAUGCCCAUUUUCCACAAAUUGGUAUGAUUUUUUUAGGGUACUCAUGAAAUGUCAAUGGUAGUGUAAACAACACCUGUUUUAAACAACUCUUUUUACAGCCUCUCGUUUCAUGUGCAUGUCUCUUUAAAUGAUAAUGAGCCACUGCUCACCCCACCCCCUCUUCCGUGGGGCUAGCUAUAUAGAAACCAGCUGCAAAUUGAAAUAGCUUGCUGGAUGACAAAGUUUUAGACUCAGACAGCCCAUAACAAACUGACUGUGUGUUUUCUUUUCAGCUUUUCUGAGCUGGCAAUGUUUUUUUGUUUGUUGUUUAAUUUAGGUCUAUCCUUUUAUUACUUGUCUAAGUAUGUUUUUUUUUAUUUUAUUUUAUU
rnacentral:lncRNA from 1 species